rnacentral:lncRNA from 1 species
CAUACGAUCGACUUCCAGAUGAAAUCUUGCACUUUUGCUUCUAUGAUUUUUGCUAGCGGUUCGGCUUCAACCCAUUUGGUGAAGUAGUCGAUCGCUACAAGGAGGAACUUCCUCUGCCCCGACGCCAUGGGAAAGGGGCCAAGGAUGUCCAUCCCCCAUUGCGCAAAAGGCCAUGGGACACUCAAGGGUGUAAGCUCGGUGGC